rnacentral:rRNA from 1 species
UAGGGAAUCUUCGGCAAUGGACGAAAGUCUGACGGAGCAACGCCGCGUGAGUGAUGACGGCCUUCGGGUUGUAAAGCUCUGUUAAUCGGGACGAAAGGCCUUCUUGCGAAUAGUUAGAAGGAUUGACGGUACCGGAAUAGAAAGCCACGGCUAACUACGUGCCAGCAGCCGCGGUAAUACGUAGGUGGCAAGCGUUGUCCGGAAUUAUUGGGCGUAAAGCGCGCGCAGGCGGAUUGGUCAGUCUGUCUUAAAAGUUCGGGGCUUAACCCCGUGAUGGGAUGGAAACUGCCAAUCUAGAGUAUCGGAGAGGAAAGUGGAAUUCCUAGUGUAGCGGUGAAAUGCGUAGAUAUUAGGAAGAACACCAGUGGCGAAGGCGACUUUCUGGACGAAAACUGACGCUGAGGCGCGAAAGCCAGGGGAGCGAACGGGAUUAGAUACCCCGGUAGUCCUGGCCGUAAACGAUGGGUACUAGGUGUAGGAGGUAUCGACCCCUUCUGUGCCGGAGUUAACGCAAUAAGUACCCCGCCUGGGGAGUACGACCGCAAGGUUG